rnacentral:lncRNA from 10 species
GCCGAAACGAAAGAAGCAGAAUCAUCACCAGCCACCGACACAGCAGCAGCCCCCGCUGCCCGAGCGGGAAGAGACUGGAGAUGAGGAGGAUGGGAGUCCCAUCGGACCACCCAGCCUUCUGGGCCCUCCCCCCAUGGCCAAUGGAAAACCUGGCGACCCUAAGUCAGGUGAGGAGGAAGGGGCCCUGAUCCUUGUAUUAGGUCGUAGAGAAGACAGCAAGGGAGGGGAUAAAACCCAGGAAGGACUUAAAAAUAAAAGAUCAGGGAUUCCAUCCCUAAAUGAAUGGAGAGAAGUUGUAUAUUUGCUGAUUUAAAAACUCAAUGUUGUAAAAAUGUCACUUCUUCCCAAAUUGAUAAACAGAUUUCAUGCAUUCCAAGUCAGAACACCCAUA